GGGGAUGUCCAAUCGUUGAUUGUUCUUUGAUAUCACUUCUGUGCAUGUCGAGUUGAUGUCUCUCGUUUCAAAAGCAUCAAAUUCCGAAGUGCAAACUUCACCAGUCGUUUGAAAGCUAAAGUGAACGCUCUCGUGGCUUCACUCACUCUCACACCGGCUGCUGUUGCUGCGUAGAAAUACCGCAACCAUCGCCCGUCGGGUUUCCAUACUGACGAUCAGCGGUGCCAUUCUAUGGAAUUGCUGUGCGCAUAUCUUGUGGCACGCGGGACUUUUACCAAGAUGUAGACAUACUGUUCUUUGUCGGUUUGCCGGCAGUACGUUGAAACUCUCCAAAUCUGACUAUGCAUGAAGAUCAGAGUGAUACAUGAACAAGACGUGGGUGUGAGGCCCACCAUCUCCACCA
rnacentral:tmRNA from 1 species